rnacentral:rRNA from 1 species
GACGGCGGCGGGAGGCGCUAUUUCCAUCGUGGCUGCGAUCCUGAUGUCGAUGCUCUUUCUUUGCGAAACGGCGUCAUACAUUCAGGGCACCCCGGUGCACUCAAUCGAGCUA